ensembl:lncRNA
AACACUGAGGCUGCAUCCCAAUACCGUUCAUCACUACAGAACACUGUAUUGGGAUGCAGAACACUGCAUCCCAAUACUGUUAAUCACUAUAAAACACUGAGGCUGCAUUCCAAUACUGUUCAUCACUACAGAACACUGAGGCUGCAUCCCAAUACUGUUCAUCACUAUAGAACACUGAGGCUGCAUUCCAAUACUGUUCAUCACUACAGAACACUGAGGCUGCAUUCCAAUACUGUUCAUCACUACAGAACACUGAGGCUGCAUUCCAAUACUGUUCAUCACUACAGAACACUGAAGCUGCAUUCCAAUACUGUUCAUCACUAUAAAACACUGAGGCUGCAUUCCAAUACUGUUCAUCACUAUAGAACACUGAGGCUGCAUUCCAAUACUGUUCAUCACUACAGAACACUGAGGCUGCAUCCCAAUACUGUUCAUCACUAUAGAACACUGAGGCUGCAUUCCAAUACUGUUCAUCACUACAGAACACUGAGGCUGCAUUCCAAUACUGUUCAUCACUACAGAACACUGAGGCUGCAUUCCAAUACUGUUCAUCACUACAGAACACUGAGGCUGUAUUCCAAUACUGUUCAUCACUACAGAACACUGAGGCUGCAUCCCAAUACUGUUCAUCACUACAGAACACUGAGGCUGCAUUCCAAUACUGUUCAUCACUACAGAACACUGAGGCUGCAUCCCAAUACUGUUCAUCCCUACAGAACACUGAGGCUGCAUUCCAAUACUGUUCAUCACUAUAGAACACUGAGGCUGCAUUCCAAUACUGUUCAUCACUACAGAACACUGAGGCUGCAUUCCAAUACUGUUCAUCACUACAGAACACUGAGGCUGCAUUCCAAUACUGUUCAUCACUACAGAACACUGAGGCUGCAUCCCAAUACUGUUCAUCACUACAGAACAUUGAGGCUGCAUUCCAAUACUGUUCAUCACUACAGAACACUGAGGCUGCAUUCCAAUACUGUUCAUCACUACAGAACACUGAGGCUGCAUCCCAAUACUGUUCAUCACUAUAGAACACCGAGGCUGCAUUCCAAUACUGUUCAUCACUACAGAACACCGAGGCUGCAUUCCAAUACUGUUCAUCACUAUAGAACACUGAGGCUGCAUUCCAAUACUGUUCAUCACUACAGAACACUGAGGCUGCAUUCCAAUACUGUUCAUCACUAUAAAACACUGAGGCUGCAUUCCAAUACUGUUCAUCACUAUAGAACACUGAGGCUGCAUUCCAAUACUGUUAAUCACUAUAAAACACUGAGGCUGCAUUCCAAUACUGUUCAUCACUACAGAACACUGAGGCUGCAUUCCAAUACUGUUCAUCACUAUAGAACACUGAGGCUGCAUUCCAAUACUGUUCAUCACUACAGAACACUGAGGCUGCAUUCCAAUACUGUUCAUCACUACAGAACACUGAGGCUGCAUCCCAAUACUGUUCAUCACUACAGAACACUGAGGCUGCAUUCCAAUACUGUUCAUCACUACAGAACACUGAGGCUGCAUCCCAAUACUGUUCAUCACUACAGAACACUGAGAAUGCAUUCCAAUACUGUUCAUCACUACAGAACACUGAGGCUGCAUUCCAAUACUGUUCAUCCCUACAGAACACUGAGGCUGCAUUCCAAUACUGUUCAUCACUAUAGAACACUGAGGCUGCAUUCCAAUACUGUUCAUCACUACAGAACACUGAGGCUGCAUUCCAAUACUGUUCAUCACUACAGAACACCGAGGCUGCAUUCCAAUACUGUUCAUCACUAUAGAACACUGAGGCUGCAUUCCAAUACUGUUCAUCACUAUAGAACACUGAGGCUGCAUUCCAAUACUGUUCAUCACUACGGAACACUGAGGCUGCAUCCCAAUACUGUUCAUCACUACAGAACACUGAGGCUGCAUUCCAAUACUGUUCAUCACUACAGAACACUGAGGCUGCAUUCCAAUACUGUUCAUCACUACAGAACACUGAGGCUGCAUUCCAAUACUGUUCAUCACUGUAGAACACUAAGGCUGCAUUCCAAUACUGUUCAUCACUACGGAACACUGAGGCUGCAUUCCAAUACUGUUCAUCACUAUAGAACACUGAGGCUGCAUCCCAAUACUGUUCAUCACUAUAGAACACUGAGGCUGCAUUCCAAUACUGUUCAUCACUAUAGAACACUGAGGCUGCAUUCCAAUACUGUUCAUCACUAUAGAACACUGAGGCUGCAUUCCAAUACUGUUCAUCACUACAGAACACUGAGGCUGCAUCCCAAUAAUGUUCAUCACUAUAGAACACUGAGGCUGCAUUCUAUCACCUAG